GCUGCUUCUUGAAUCUGCAGAGUAUCUUAGCUGUUUGGCUAAAAGCAUUUUAGCAAAAGCUCACCAGAGGGAAACAUCUGCAAGAAGACAGAAGGCAGCAAGAAGUCAGAGGGCAGUAGGAUGGAGCAGAUGACCAGAAGACCAAGACGCUGCGCAAGCUACUGAAAAAGGUUUUGGUAGAAUUUCCUCUAACUUGCUGCAGAAGGCCUAUGUGCCAAGUCCAGUACACCACAGUCCAUCUGAGUGCCAUGCUGUGGAGCGAGAUACCGGUGAGGAAAUGCUCAUCAUAUCACUGAAUUGAGUUCUUCUUCCUCUAAGAAGAAAUUUCACUGCAAUUCAGAAAUCUUCAUAAUAUAGUAAUCUAUAGCUAAUUCAGAGGUGCUAUGCCCUGCCAACCCUAUG
rnacentral:lncRNA from 1 species